GUAGGUGGCAAGCGUUGUCCGGGAAUUAUUGGGGCGUAAAGCGCGCGCAGGCGGUUUUUUAAGUCUGAUGUGAAAGCCCACGGGCUCAACCGUGGGAGGGUCAUUGGAAACUGGAGAACUUGAGUGCAGAAGAGGAGAGCGGAAUUCCACGUGUAGCGGUGAAAUGCGUAGAGAUGUGGAGGAACACCAGUGGCGAAGGCGGCUCUCUGGUCUGUAACUGACGCUGAGGCGCGAAAGCGUGGGGAGCAAACAGGAUUAGAUACCCUGGUAGUCCACGCCGUAAACGAUGAGUGCUAAGUGUUAGAGGGUUUCCGCCCUUUAGUGCUGCAGCAAACGCAUUAAGCACUCCGCCUGGGGAGUACGGUCGCAAGACUG
rnacentral:rRNA from 1 species